rnacentral:rRNA from 1 species
GCAGUAGCCGCGGUAAUACGUAGAUGGCAAGCGUUGUCCGGAAUUAUUGGGCGUAAAGCGCGCGCAGGCGGCCUAUCCAGUCUGUCUUAAAAGUUCGGGGCUCAGCCCCGUGAUGGGAUGGAAACUAGUAGGCUAGAGUAUCGGAGAGGAAAGCGGAAUUCCUAGUGUAGCGGUGAAAUGCGUAGAUAUUAGGAAGAACACCAGUGGCGAAGGCGGCUUUCUGGACGAAAACUGACGCUGAGGCGCGAAAGCCAGGGGAGCGAACGGGAUUAGAUACCCGAGUAGUCCCUGUCUCUUAUACA